rnacentral:rRNA from 1 species
GCUGGCGGCAGCCCUUAUACAUGCAAGUCGAACGAGAAAGCUUCUUCGGAAGUGAGUAAAGUGGCGGACGGGUGAGUAACGCGUAGGAAUCUACCUUUCAGUGGGGGAUAGCUCGGGGAAACUCGAAUUAAUACCGCAUAUACCCUUAGGGGGAAAGGGGGCCUCUCCUUGGAAGCUCUCGCUGUUAGAUGAGCCUGCGUGAGAUUAGCUUGUUGGUAAGGUAAUGGCUUACCAAGGCUACGAUCUCUAGCUGGUCUGAGAGGACGAUCAGCCACACUGGGACUGAGACACGGCCCAGACUCCUACGGGAGGCAGCAGUAGGGAAUAUUGGACAAUGGGGGAAACCCUGAUCCAGGCAUGCCGCGUGUGUGAAGAAGGCCUUAGGGUUGUAAAGCACUUUAAGUGAGGAAGAAAAGAUUCAAAUUAAUACUUUGAAUCCCUGACAUUACUCACAGAAUAAGGACCGGCUAACUCCGUGCCAGCAGCCGCGGUAAUACGGAGGGUCCAAGCGUUAAUCGGAAUUACUGGGCGUAAAGCGCGCGUAGAUGGUUUAUCUAGUUGGGUGUGAAAUCCCUGGGCUCAACCCAGGAACUGCAUUCAAAACUUAUAAACUAGAGUACGAAAGAGGAGAGCAGAAUUCAUGGUGUAGCGGUGAAAUGCGUAGAUAUCAUGAGGAAUACCAGUGGCGAAGGCGGCUCUCUGGUUCGAGACUGACAUUGAGGUGCGAAAGCGUGGGUAGCAAACAGGAUUAGAUACCCUGGUAGUCCACGCCGUAAACGAUGAGAACUAGCCGUUGGAUCUUUAGAUUCAGUGGCGCAGCUAACGCAUUAAGUUCUCCGCCUGGGGAG